GACAGAGGUGGCAAGCGUUGCUCGGAUUUACUGGGCGUAAAGGGCACGCAGGCGGUCUUGCCAGUCAGGGGUGAAAGCCCGGGGCUCAACCUCGGAACUGCCUCUGAUACUGCAAGACUUGAGACUAGGAGAGGGUGGUGGAAUUCCCAGUGUAGAGGUGAAAUUCGUAGAUAUUGGGAGGAACACCAGAGGCGAAGGCGGCCACCUGGACUAGAUCUGACGCUCAGGUGCGAAAGCGUGGGGAGCAAACAGG
rnacentral:rRNA from 1 species